UACGGAGGGUGCAAGCGUUAAUCGGAAUUACUGGGCGUAAAGCGCACGCAGGUGGCUGAGUUCAGUCGAUUGUGAAAGCCCUGGGCUUAAACCUGGGAAUUGCAGUCGAUACUACUCAGCUAGAGUAUGGGAGAGGGUAGUGGAAUUCCGGUGUAGCGGUGAAAUGCGUAGAUAUCGGGAGGAACACCAGUGGCGAAGGCGGCUCACUGGCCCGGUACUGACGCUGAGGUGCGAAACGUGGG
rnacentral:rRNA from 1 species